UUAGACGACUCCAUACUUCAAAUGGAAGACAUUAUGCUUGAACUAGUAACAAGAAUAUGUCAUUCUCCUAAAUAUAAGUAUAAGCCGCAAUAGACAAACCAACGGCAAUUAACAUUAAUAAACCCCCUACAGCAACCCUCAAGAAAACCCUGUAAACCCAAACGUUAAUCUCACACAAGAAUAUUUCAGGAAAGAUUAAAAGGCAGAGAAGGAACUCGGCAAAUAAUAACCCCGCCUGUUUACCAAAAACAUCGCCUCUUGUUCAAAUAUAAGAGGUCCAGCCUGCCCAGUGACUCUUCAACGGCCACGGUACCCUAACCGUGCUAAGGUAGCGCAAUUACUUGUCCUUUAAAUGAGGACCCGAAUGAAUGGCACCACGAGGGUUAUACUGUCUCCUCCCCCCAAUCAGUGAAACUGACCCCCCUGUGAAAAGGCAGGAAUAAAAAUAUUAGACGAGAAGACCCCAUGGAGCUUUAGACUACAAGCAAGUCAGACAACAAGUCCAAGACCUAUGCUUUUUAGUCUUCGGCUGGGGCGACCAUGGAGUAAAAAUUAACCUCCACGCCGAACGGGUAAUUCCUUAUCCACGAGCAACACCUCUAAGAAACAGAAAACUGACAACCACUGAUCCGGACCCCGAUCAACGAACCAAGUUACCCUGGGGAUAACAGCGCUAUCUGCCUCGAGAGUUCAUAUCGACAGGCGGGUUUACGACCUCGAUGUUGGAUCAGGGUGUCCUGGUGGUGCAGCCGCUACAUAAGGUUCGUUUGU
rnacentral:rRNA from 1 species